GGCCUACCAUGGUGGUAACGGGUAACGGGGUGUUAGGGCACGACACCGGAGAGGGAGCCUGAGAAACGGCUACCACAUCCAAGGAUGGCAGCAGGCGCGCAAAUUACCCAAUCCCGACACGGGGGGUAGUGACAAUAAAUAACAAUACGGGGUUCUUUAGGAUCUCGUAAUUGGAAUGAGUACAAUUUAAAUCUCUUAACGAGGAACAAUUGGAGGGCAAGUCUGGUGCCAGCAGCCGCGGUAAUUCCAGCUCCAAUAGCGUAUAUUAAAGUUGUUGCAGUUAAAAAGCUCGUAGUUGAAUUUCGGGGUUAGUAGGUUGGUCAUGCCUCCGGUAUGUACUGAUCUCACUGAUUCCUCCUUCCUUAUGAACCGUAAUGCCAUUAAUUUGGUGUUGCGGGGAAUUUGGACUGUUACUUUGAAAAAAUUAGAGUGUUUAAAGCAGGCUAACGCUUGAAUACAUUAGCAUGGAAUAAUGAAAUAGGACGUUCGAUCUUAUUUUGUUGGUUUCUAGGAUUGACGUAAUGAUUAAUAGGGAUAGUUGGGGGCAUUAGUAUUCAAUUGUCAGAGGUGAAAUUCUUGGAUUUAUUGAAGACUAACUACUGCGAAAGCAUUUGCCAAGGAUGUUUUCAUUAAUCAAGAACGAAAGUUAGGGGAUCGAAGACGAUCAGAUACCGUCGUAGUCUUAACCAUAAACUAUGCCGACUAGGGAUCGGAUGAUGUUAAUUUUUUAAUGACUCAUUCGGCGCCUUACGGGAAACCAAAGUGUUUGGGUUC
rnacentral:rRNA from 1 species